rnacentral:rRNA from 1 species
GGUUUAAUUCGAUGAUACGCGAGGAACCUUACCCGGGCUUGAAAUGCAUCUGACCGGCCUUGAAAGAGGUUUUCCCUUCGGGGCAGAUGUGUAGGUGCUGCAUGGUUGUCGUCAGCUCGUGCCGUGAGGUGUCGGCUUAAGUGCCAUAACGAGCGCAACCCUCAUCAUAGUUACCAUCAGGUAAGGCUGGGGACUCUAAUGAGACUGCCAUCGUAAGAUGUGAGGAAGGUGGGGAUGACGUCAAAUCAGCACGGCCCUUACGUCCGGGGCGACACACGUGUUACAAUGGGUGGUACAAAGGGCAGCUACCUGGCGACAGGAUGCUAAUCUCCAAAACCACUCUCAGUUCGGAUCGGAGUCUGCAACUCGACUCCGUGAAGCUGGAUUCGCUAGUAAUCGCGCAUCAGCCACGGCGCGGUGAAUACGUUCCCGGGCCUU